rnacentral:tRNA from 1 species
AUUCUAGUAGCUCAUACCAUUAGAGUAUUGCACUGAAGAUGCAAAGGAAGCAGUUAUUGCUCUAGAAUA